CUUUUCCCGAACCUAACACGCCCUUAUCCCAAAUUUGCCACUAAAACAAAUGGAGUGAGCGGCACUCAUGUAGGGACUUGAUGCAUGAGAAAGUGCCUCUCCACUCUCACGGCCAUCUGUCAUGCUCGAGUGACAGCUCAUAUUCAAGCAGUUUGAACCGGUUCGUUUGUAAGGCUCCAACUCACAGGUGGCGCAUAAGUAGCAGAGUACAGGAAGAUUCCGAUUUUUAAGACACGGAAAUCAUAGAUUUGCAUUAGUAUGUCAAUCUUUGAUUUCCUAUAAAUACGCUGGCAAUCCACAAUGCAGCUCUCUUUUCUGGUGAUUUCUGAAAGAAAUAGUAGUGCGCGCGUGUGUAGUGUAUUUCCCUAAAUGUAGAGGAUAAAGUUAUAAACGUUUGUUAGUUCGACCUACUAUCUGUGUUAUUGUUAGUAUGGUUAAAAAUGUGUUAGUAACGGUUAAAAUCAUGCAAAAAAUCCAUUGUUAGAUUACACGCAAAACAGUUGAAGAUCAGCUAGUAGACAACAACAAAAACGUAAAAACAACAAGAAAAAGGUAACAAAUAUUGUAAUUUAGUGAAAAGUGUCAGGUUGUAAGAAAUGUGACGUCACAGGGGUCUAAUUUGUGGUUAGGUCCAAGGAAUGGGCCUUUUUCUUUGCUUUCGAGCUUUUUCCCAGCAGACAAUACCGCCCCGAUGGCAAUAGCGGCGACAAACACCGGCAAAACCAGCCAGAAUCGCCUUCAUAUCGCUAGAAGCGCGAAACACCAGUGGGCUCCGCCAGAAACCCCCCCCCCCCCCCCCCCCCUCUUCUGCGGGUCGAGGAUACGAAGUGUUCGUCACGCCGCUGGCCACCAUCGUCAACCACCGUAUUCUGCUGUGGGUUCAACAACAGAAGCCGCCAUCUUAGUCCCCAAUGGCCGGUUUCGGCGAGAUUGUUCAGCGUUUGCUGCUGAAGAGCAUCUCCCGGCUACCUCAUCAACAUCUGUGGCCGUCCUCUUUGCCACCUCCGUGGUCUACCAACGACAGUGAAAGACCGCCAGACGUUCCCGAACGAUAACAAAACCGCAAGUAUAAACCCCCUAAAAGUGACGUCGUUUGAAUAAAAUGUAAGAUUGUAGAUAGGA